rnacentral:tRNA from 1 species
GUCAGGAUGGCCGAGCGGUCUAAGGCGCUGCGUUCAGGUCGCAGUCCUUUUCUGUGGGCGUGGGUUCGAAUCCCACUUCUGACA